rnacentral:lncRNA from 1 species
UGUCAGGACACAGGAGGUUUUCACCUCCCUGGCAGUGCUGGUUUGACUGCUCGCACAAGCAGGCUCUGCAAAGGGUUGCAAACCUAUGAUGGGGGAGGGCGAGGAAGGCAAAUAGUUGUGCUUUCGAAGCACCAUUUACAACGCGGAUCAAAAACCGAGGAGGUCUCGUUUAAAUCCACGUCAAACAGCGAGUUUCCAUAUCAGCGUUGCUCAGCCUGUGACCUGCUGCCUGUUGGUGGUCUCUCAGACAUUGGAAGGUGGUCCGUGAAAGAAGCGCAGUAAAAUUAAAUGUUCCAGACUCUGCUUAUGGGCUGGUUCUCGACUGCUUGCCAGCAUUGUCUGAGAAGUACAAG